rnacentral:tRNA from 3 species
GGGGGCGUAGCUCAAUUGGUUAGAGUCCCAGAUUGUCGAUCUGGUUGUUGCGGGUUCGAGUCCCGUCGCUCCCGCCA